rnacentral:rRNA from 1 species
AACGAACGCUGGCGGCGUGGAUAAGACAUGCAAGUCGAACGAGGAAUUGAAUAGCUUGCUAAUUAAUUCCUAGUGGCGAACGGGUGCGUAACACGUGAGCAACCUGCCCGAAAGCGGGGGAUAGCCUGGGAAACUCGGAUUAAUACCGCAUGUGAUCGUCCUGCGAUUGUAGGAACGAUUAAAGCUGGGGAUCUUCGGACCUGGCACUUUCGGAUGGGCUCGCGGCUUAUCAGCUUGAUGGUGAGGUAACGGCUCACCAUGGCUACGACGAGUAACUGGUCUGAGAGGAUGAUCAGUCACACUGGAACUGAGACACGGUCCAGACACCUACGGGUGGCAGCAGUCGAGAAUCAUUCGCAAUGGGGGAAACCCUGACGGUGCGACGCCGCGUGGAGGAUGACGGCCCUAGGGUUGUAAACUCCUGUCAUCAGGGAGUAAGGCAUCACCGGUUAAUAACCGGAGGUGUUGAUAGUACCUGAAGAGGAAGAGACGGCUAACUCUGUGCCAGCCGCCGCAGUAACAC